AUUCGGUCCCGCCCACUCCCCAGUCUCUCCCGCCUCCCCGAGAGUCACCCCCUUUCCCAGCCCGGGAAGUGGGCGCUGCCGGUCCUCCUGCCCCACCCCUUGAUCGGCCUUAGUCCAGCACCACCCUCUCCCCAGGCUUCGCCCCGCUGUGGUCUCUUAUCUCCAGCCGUACCCCCUUUUUCUCUGUCGCACCUUUCCAGAGCCCAGCGCCCUCUUGCAGUCCAAGCCUGAGACCGUCCCCAUCGCUCACCCGACUCCCCUGGAGACUUCAGGGCCUGCCAGUCUGCUCCGUCUUUUUCCUUUAGGCCCCGCCUCUGUUAGGCCCUCCUUUCUUCCAGACCCCAUUCACACCCCAGAGCCCACGCCGGAGCCGGCACCCCCCCCCCGUGUGGGAUGGAGGGGUGUAGUUAACUCCCUAACCUACAGAAAGAGGCCUCGGUUUCCCAGACCGCGUCUUGCCUCGGGGAGGGCCCGCCCCACUGGCCAUCUAGGUGCCUCCCAAAAAUGGGACACUGCCCCUUCCCAUGAUGGUCUUCACCAUCCCUGUUGGCUUCCCCCACUUCACCCCUCCUGGCUCGUGAACUCUCACCCCAGUCUGGGUGGGUACACCCACCUCAUUGCUCCCCGACUCUGCCUCGCAAUCGAUCAAAUUCAACACCGGGUCAAGGCCCUGUGCAGACGAUCCCCACUCACUCUGCUGCUGAGCUCCGGGACCACCAAGAUGUUG
rnacentral:lncRNA from 1 species